GACGAACGCUGGCGGCGUGCUUAACACAUGCAAGUCGAACGGAAAGGCCCUGCUUGCAGGGUACUCGAGUGGCGAACGGGUGAGUAACACGUGGGUGAUCUGCCCUGCACUUCGGGAUAAGCCUGGGAAACUGGGUCUAAUACCGGAUAGGAGCCAUUUUUAGUGUGAUGGUUGGAAAGUUUUUUCGGUGUAGGAUGAGCUCGCGGCCUAUCAGCUUGUUGGUGGGGUAAUGGCCUACCAAGGCGGCGACGGGUAGCCGGCCUGAGAGGGUGGACGGCCACAUUGGGACUGAGAUACGGCCCAGACUCCUACGGGAGGCAGCGGUGGGGAAGAUUGCACAAUGGGCGCAAGCCUGAUGCAGCGACGCCGCGUGGGGGAUGACGGCCUUCGGGUUGUAAACUCCUUUCGCUAGGGACGAAGCUUUUUGUGACGGUACCUAGAUAAGAAGCACCGGCUAACUACGUG
rnacentral:rRNA from 1 species